rnacentral:rRNA from 1 species
UUUAGNNNCCCCNGCNGACGCGGUUAGACUUAGGGGCCCGGGGCCUUUAUGGGCAACGGUUCGUACAGGGUGUGUAGGCCGACCGCCCCACCCCCCCUAGGUGGUAAAUGGAAUUUUUCUGUAGCGGUAGAAUGUGCGGAUAGAAAAUAGAACCCCAAAAGCUGAAGCAAUUUACCGCGNGGCGGGAGGGGGGGGCGCUUNGUGGGUGCCCCCUCGGAGACUCCGUGCUGAAACGCNGCUGGGUUUGGGGAGCAAUCUGGGUUUCUCUUGACCGCCUGGUAGUCNCNGCACUGUAAACGAUGUAGAAAAUGCGAAUGCAGCCCCGAAAGGUAGCANNNAUCUCCCGCCUGAGUAGUACGAUCGCUAAGAUUUAAAUUCCAAAAAUUUGGCUGUUCACCGUUUUGAUUAGUGGAGCGUGUAGUUUAAUUCGAUAAACCGCGAGAUACCUUACCCUUUCUUGAAUCCUUGAGGAUUUCCAAGGAAUCUUUAUGGACCGGUACUUGCAUGGCCGUCGUCAGUUCGUGUUUGUUUCCCACCUUAAACGGACCCAACCCGAGGAUUAGCCGGGGNAUGAAGUCAGGUCCUCUGGUCCCAAUGUUUGGGGAUAAUAUGCGCUACUUUUUNUUAUACUUUUGGAUAACCUGGGAGGUGAAACCCAAAAGUGAGAGUUCGGUAGGCUAUUGGAAGNGUGGCCGAAAGUUGUAUUAAUAGNANUCGAAACUUUAUCGCUGCAUGUUNUUNCGUUCCGGUGAAAUCCUCUNGGUGUCCNCCACANGCCGCCAANUAAAAAAA